UCCUUCUUAGCUCAGUUGGUAGAGCGCGUCACUAGUAUGUAGGGUAGCUCCAGCGUAUGAUGACGAGGUCAGUCGUUCAAGUCGGCUAGAAGGAA